GACGAACGCUGGCGGCGUGCUUAACACAUGCCAGUCGAACGGAAAGGCCCUGCUUUUGUGGGGUGCUCGAGUGGCGAACGGGUGAGUAACACGUGAGUAACCUGCCCUUGACUUUGGGAUAACUUCAGGAAACUGGGGCUAAUACCGGAUAGGAGCCCCUGCUGCAUGGUGGGGGUUGGAAAGUUUCGGCGGUUGGGGAUGGACUCGCGGCUUAUCAGCUUGUUGGUGGGGUAGUGGCUUACCAAGGCUUUGACGGGUAGCCGGCCUGAGAGGGUGACCGGGCACAAUUGGACUGAAAUACAGCCCCGACCUCUAAGGGGAGCAACAGGGGGGGAAAAUGGACAAAGGGAGGAAGCCUGGAGCAACGACCCCGGGGUGGGGAAGACUGCCUUCGGGGUUGUAAACCCAUUCGGCUUGGGAGGAGGCUUGGUGGCGGUAAAGGGGAAAGGAAGCACCGGUAAAUUAGUU
rnacentral:rRNA from 1 species